rnacentral:misc_RNA from 1 species
UCAAACUUGGUCAUUUAGAGGAAGUAAAAGUCGUAACAAGGUCUCCGUUGGUGAACCAGCGGAGGGAUCAUUAAAGAGUUGUAAAAGACUCCCAACCCCUGUUUAGAUACCACCUCUGUUCCGUUGCCUCGGCGGCCCAGGCCGCCGGGGGUACCAAAACUCAACGCUGUAUUCCGAACGUGAUCUCUGAGCUUCUAAAGCACAACAAGUCAAAACUUUCAACAACGGAUCUCUUGGUUCUGGCAUCGAUGAAGAACGCAGC